rnacentral:ncRNA from 1 species
GUGUUGUAUGAAAGGAGAAAAGGUUAUUACUCCCCUUGACAAGGAUGGAAGAGGCCCUUGGGCCUUACAACACACAUACGGUUAAGGCAUUGCCACCUACUUUGUGGUGUCUAAACCUCUGUCUGAU